rnacentral:rRNA from 1 species
CGAGACUCAGUGAAAUUGAACUCGCUGUGAAGAUGCAGUGUACCCGCGGCAAGACGGAAAGACCCCGUGAACCUUUACUAUAGCUUGACACUGAACAUUGAGCCUUGAUGUGUAGGAUAGGUGGGAGGCUUUGAAGUGUGGACGCCAGUCUGCAUGGAGCCGGCCUUGAAAUACCACCCUUUAAUGUUUGAUGUUCUAACGUGGACCCGUGAUCCGGGUUGCGGACAGUGUCUGGUGGGUAGUUUGACUGGGGCGGUCUCCUCCUAAAGAGUAACGGAGGAGCACGAAGGUUGGCUAAUCCUGGUCGGACAUCAGGAGGUUAGUGCAAUGGCAUAAGCCAGCUUGACUGCGAGCGUGACGGCGCGAGCAGGUGCGAAAGCAGGUCAUAGUGAUCCGGUGGUUCUGAAUGGAAGGGCCAUCGCUCAACGGAUAAAAGGUACUCCGGGGAUAACAGGCUGAUACCGCCCAAGAGUUCAUAUCGACGGCGGUGUUUGGCACCUCGAUGUCGGCUCAUCACAUCCUGGGGCUGAAGUAGGUCCCAAGGGUAUGGCUGUUCGCCAUUUAAAGUGGUACGCGAGCUGGGUUUAGAACGUCGUGAGACAGUUCGGUCCCUAUCUGCCGUGGGCGCUGGAGAACUGAGGGGGGCUGCUCCUAGUACGAGAGGACCGGAGUGGACGCAUCACUGGUGUUCGGGUUGUCAUGCCAAUGGCACUGCCCGGUAGCUAAAUGCGGAAGAGAUAAGUGCUGAAAGCAUCUAAGCACGAAACUUGCCCCGAGAUGAGUUCUCCCUGACCCUUUAAGGGUCCUGAAGGAACGUUGAAGACGACGACGUUGAUAGGCCGGGUGUGUAAGCGCAGCGAUGCGUUGAGCUAACCGGUACUAAUGAACCGUGAGGCUUAACCUUACAACGCCGAAG